GAACUGGUGGCUAAGUGGUGCUCUGGAUGUCUUUUAUCAGGUGAAAGGUGAGGAUGAUUACACGGUAAAAGAAAAAAGUUAAAUGAUGGCUGGCCCUCAGAAAAGCUCUACAUAUGCUGUAUAACCCUUUGUGCACACGGAUAGCACAUUCCCCAGUCUGAUCACAUCUGUUGUGGGAUAUGUCCAAUACGAGUUAAUAAUUAAUUAAUUACAAGGUGAACUGGUGUGGUUAACAGUGCAGUUCUGAUGUCUUUUAUCAGGUAUGUUUAUUCUAA